UACGGAAGGCAGCAGUGGGGAAGUAUUGCACAAUGGGCGCAAGCCUGAUGCAGCUAUGCCGCGUGUAUGAAGAAGGCCUUAGGGUUGUAAAGUACUUUCAUCGGGGAGGAAAAAAACAAAAACUAAUAAUUUUAUUUUCUUGACGUUACCCGAAAAAGAAGCACCGGCUAACUCCGUGCCAGCAGCCGCGGUAAUACGGAGGGUGCUAGCGUUAAUCAGAAUUACUGGGCGUAAAGAGCACGUAGGUGGUUUUUUUAAGUUCAGAUGUGAAAUCCCUGGGCUUAACCUAGGAACUGCAUUUUGAAACUGAAAUACUAGAGUAUCGUAGAGGGAGGUAGAAUUCUAGGUGUAGCGGUGAAAUGCGUAGAUAUCUGGAGGAAUACCUGUGGCGAAAGCGGCCUCCUAAACGAAUACUGACACUGAGGUGCGAAAGCGUGGGGAGCAAACAGGGAUUAGAUACC
rnacentral:rRNA from 1 species